UACGUAGGUGGCGAGCGUUGUCCGGAUUUACUGGGCGUAAAGAGCGCGCAGGCGGCUGGUCAAGUCCGAUGUGAAAGCUCCCGGCUUAACUGGGAAAUUGCAUCGGAAACUGAUCGGCUGGAAGGUGGGAGAGGGUAGCGGAAUUCCCGGUGUAGUGGUGAAAUGCGUAGAUAUCGGGAGGAACACCAGUGGCGAAGGCGACUACCUGGCCUGUUCUUGACGCUGAGGCGCGAAAGCCAGGGGAGCAAACGGG
rnacentral:rRNA from 1 species